GCGACCGUAGUUUAAGGGUAGAAUAUCCGCUUCCCAAGCGGAUGGUCCGGGUUCGAUUCCCGGCGGUCGCA
rfam:Coccomyxa subellipsoidea C-169, whole genome shotgun sequence.